UACUUAAAAGUGUAAAGAGCACGAAGAUUUUUGAUGUCUUAAGGAAUAGUUAAAAUCUAUUAUAAGUAA
rnacentral:tRNA from 2 species